ACAUAGGGUGCAAGCGUUGUCCGGAAUUAUUGGGCGUAAAGAGCUCGUAGGUCGUUUGUUACGUCGGAUGUGAAAACCUGAGGCUCAACCUCAGGCCUGCAUUCGAUACGGGCAAACUAGAGUUUGGUAGGGGAGACUGGAAUUCCUGGUGUAGCGGUGGAAUGCGCAGAUAUCAGGAGGAACACCAAUGGCGAAGGCAGGUCUCUGGGCCAAUACUGACACUGAGGAGCGAAAGUCUGGGGAGCGAACAGGAUUAGAUACCCUGGUAGUCCAGACCGUAAACGGUGGGCACUAGUUGUGGGAACCUUCCACGGUUUCUGCGACGCAGCUAACGCAUUAAGUGCCCCGCCUGGGGAGUACGAUCGCAAGAUUA
rnacentral:rRNA from 1 species